rnacentral:rRNA from 1 species
AUGAAGAGUUUGAUCCUGGCUCAGGAUGAACGCUAGCGGCAGGCCUAACACAUGCAAGU